GCAUGGGUGAUUUGGAUACAAUAUUUAUCAGUGCUGAUCACCUGGAUUGCUUUGGCUGAUCUGGCUGGCUUAGAGGAUUUUCCAUUCUUCCUUCUCUCUUCCAUAGGUUUCCUUUCUAAAACCUUUCCUUCUGUCAAAGAGACGAGCAUUUUCUGUUAGCAGAAGAGGAAAAGCCAAAAAAGAAAAGUUCUCUCUUGUUAUAGACUGUUGAAAAGCUAUUCUUUAGCAAAACUACUUGCACAUGAAGAUGACAGUGCAGAUUGGAAAUUCGUCAUAU
rfam:Sus scrofa chromosome 8.